AUUCGAUUUUUUCUAUUUCUUUUCUGCAUUUUAAACGGUCAAACACUGAAAUUCCUUAAUGGUUCUUGUUUGUUUGCGAUUUUAAAUCUUGAGUUUUUAUUGGUUCAUGAAGACCCUUUUGAGAUCGGUCUCUGUUGGUCGAAAUCCGACCUUUGAUAUGUUAUUGACCUACGAUUCAAAGAUGUAAGGAGGAAAUCCCAAUUUUGGGGAUUUAUCCCACAUCGAUCAAUUUAGGGUUUUGAGAGUUUUGGGGAUUCUAUAAAUACAGCCCUAAUUUUCACUAUUUGAGACACCUUGCAUCUGAUAUUCACUUGCAAAAACUGAAUACUUAGGUUUUUAGCAUUAUUUCCUUAAAUUCUUCAAUUUUUCGGUUUGAGUUUAAAAUUUUGUUUCUUUGUUUGUGUGGUCUUGCUAUGUGAUUCUGAUUUUUUGGGGGAACAACCAAAGUCUUCAAGUUGGAAUCUGGACCUACGCUGCACUUAAGAAAGUUGGUUGAGCCAAAGGCCCAACACCAUUUGUUUGAUCGAGUAUGGGUGAUAUGAAAGGGAAGCAAAUAUAUUGAAGGCCCGGUCAUGGGUGAAAUAACUCGAAGGCCCAACUAUGGGUGGAAAAAGUAACUGGCGGGCUUAGCCAACUGAACCCACGGAACUCCCUUUGCUUUGUCUCGGGAUUGACUCAAUCAAUGAGAACCACAAUGAAAUGCUUCUGGCAUGCCAAAGCAAGGCCUAGCUCUCUGUGGUGGGGCGAUCUCGCUAGGUGAGAUAAUGAGACCAAAGCAUGAAAAAUCGUCUGCCUGCAUAGAAGUUAAUAUAUAAAUGCAUAGAAGGCCCAGUCAUGGGUGAAAAUGGCCAACUAGGGGCUUGGUACGCCCUUACGCUUCCCUUCUCUUUUAUUUUGUACAUUUUCUUUCAUGUGUAAAGUUAGGUUGUAUUUGAAAUUCCUUGUAAGAACUCAUAAAUAUUUAUUGAAAUCCUUAUGUA